rnacentral:rRNA from 1 species
UCUAGAGCUAAUACAUGCACUUGUGCGUCAGGGGGGCGACUUCCUGGCGUUGGCAUUUAUUGGAUAGUUACCAACCGCAAUUUGCGUGGUGAAUCUAGAUAACUUUGCAGAUCGUAUGGCCUAGAGCCGGCGACGUUUCGAUUGAAUUUCUGCCCUAUCAACUUUUGUCGGUAGUGUAGUGGACUACCGAGGUUUUUACGGGUGACGGGGAAUCAGGGUUCGAUUCCGGAGAGGGAGCCUGAGAAACGGCUACCACAUCCAAGGAAGGCAGCAGGCGCGCAAAUUACCCAAUCCAGACAAUGGGAGGUGGUGACGAGAAGUACCGGAUGACGGCCAAUGGUUGUCAAUCUGGAAUGGAAUCAAUUUAAGCAAUUGGUUGAGAAACUACUGGAGGGCAAGUCUGGUGCCAGCAGCCGCGGUAAUUCCAGCUCCAGUAGCGUACCUCAAAGUUGCUGCGCUUAAAACGCUCGUAGUUGGAUCACAGACUGUCCGCUGGUGGGUGUUUGCUCGGGUUCCAAGGUUGGGGACGUGUCGGUGUGUCAUCAUGCCGAUAUGGACCUACGUGGGGUCGAGUGGGCACCGUAAGCCGGUGGACAGUAAUUGCACGUGAGGAUGUGCGUCGGCCUUGAGUGUGCUGACGUGUGUGUCUCACGGAGUGUGCCUUGAGUAAAUCAGAGUGCUUAAAGCAGGCUUUACGCUUGAAUGUUUUAGCAUGGAACGAACAAUAGUGUAUGGUGUAUGCUGGAUAUCGUGGGGGGUGCCUCGGUGCCCCGUGCGUCAGUGUACGACACCGACCUUCAAUUACGGAUGUUGGUUCCGUAUUGGGGUACUGAUUAAGAGGAGCGGUUGGGGGCAUUGGUAUUCGGCAGCGAGAGGUGAAAUUCUUGGACCUGCCGAGGACUAACAAAUGCGAAGGCAUCUGUCCAGACCGUGUCCAUUAAUCAAGAACGAUAGUGAGAGGUUCGAAGACGAUCAGAUACCGUCCUAGUUCUCACCGUAAACUAUGCCGACCCGGGAUGAGUUUGGAGCGAGAUUAUAUGCUCGAGGUUGGUCCCCCUGGGAAACCUAAAGUUUUUCGGUUGCGGGGGGAGUAUGGUCGCAAGGCUGAAACUUAAAGGAAUUGACGGAAGGGCACCACCAGGGGUGGAGCCUGCGGCUUAAUUUGACUCAACACGGGAAAACUUACCUGGUCCGAACAUCCGAAGGAUGCACAGACUGAUAGAUCUUUGCUGAUGGGGUGAAAAGUGGUGCAUGGCCGUUCUUAGUUCGUGGAGUGAUCUGUCAGAUUUAUUUCGGUAACGAACGAGACUACCCUCUCAACUUGACGACUCAGAGAAGGGUCGGCCAAGUCGCGGCCGGCAACGGUUGCGUUUUGAGUUUGGUCCGGUGGCGUGUGCUUGUGUGGUGCGUUAAGCCCGUGGUGCAAGCUGCGGAAACUGGCGUAUCGUGCGAGUAUGUGCCCUCUGAGAUAGCAAUGCAGUGUCCUUUGGGUGCUGUGUUGUAUCGUGGAGAGACAGCGGAAUAUAUAACAAAAUCCGAGGAAGUGUAGCUAUAACAGGUCCGUGAUGCCCUUAGAUGUUCAGGGCUGCACGCGCGCUACAAUGGUGGCAACAGCAAGUGUCUGGAUCGAGAGAUUCGGGUAAUCUGUAAUUGCCACCGUGAUGGGGAUCGACGUUUGUAAAUACGUCGUGAAAGAGGAAUCCCUAGUACGUGCGAUUCAUGCAGAUCGCGCGGAUUGCGUCCCUGCCCUUUGUACACACCGCCCGUCGCUACUACCGAGUGAAUGGUGUCAUAAUGCCUUGGG